UGGGGAAUAUUGGGCAAUGGGGGAAACCCUGACCCAGCAACGCCGCGUGAAGGAAGAAGGUUUUCGGAUUGUAAACUUCUGUCCUUGGUGAAGAGAAGAAGACGGUAGCCAAGGAGGAAGCCCCGGCUAACUACGUGCCAGCAGCCGCGGUAAUACGUAGGGGGCAAGCGUUGUCCGGAAUGAUUGGGCGUAAAGGGCGCGUAGGCGGCUUUAUAAGUCUGGAGUGAAAGUCCUCUUUUCAAGGGAGGAAUUGCUUUGGAAACUAUAGAGCUUGAGUGCAGGAGAGGUUAUCGGAAUUCCCGGUGUAGCGGUGAAAUGCGUAGAUAUCGGGAGGAACAUCGGUGGCGAAGGCGGGUAACUGGACUGCAACUGACGCUGAGGCGCGAAAGUGUGGGGAGCAAACAGG
rnacentral:rRNA from 2 species